rnacentral:rRNA from 1 species
AUUGAACGCUGGCGGCAGGCCUAACACAUGCAAGUCGAGCGGAGUGGCGGACGGGUGAGUAAUGCCUAGGAAUCUGCCUGGUAGUGGGGGAUAACGUCCGGAAACGGGCGCUAAUACCGUAUACUAUCAGCUGAGCCUAGGUCGGAUUAGCAAGAUGGUGGGGUAAAGGCCUACCAAGGCGACGAUACGUAACUGGUCUGAGAGGAUGAUCAGUCACACUGGAAAUGAGACACGAUCCAGACUCCUACUGAGGGCGGCAGUGGGGAAUAUUGGACAAUGGACGAGAACCUGAUCCAGCCAUGCCGCGUGUGGGAAGAAGGUCUUCGGAUUGUAAAGCACUUUAAGUUGGGAGGCGUUACCAGCAGAAUAAGCACCGGCUAACUACGUGCCAGCAGCCGCGGUAAUAC